AAGGCCCGACUGAAGACAGAAAUGGUGGAAUCAGCAAGACGUACACAUAAUCAGGAGAAGAGGUCUCGCACUGAAACCGCUCAAAAUUCUCCAAGUGCACAGGCCUCUGGGGGAAAGGCAAAGAAGUCUCUUGGUAGUCUUUUUAAAACCAGUGUGGCCUCUUCAGCUUUGCCUCUGCCACUUGAAGAUGUCGUGGAGGCAGAGUUGAAUAGUUACCUGUUGAGCCCUGUCAUUGACGGAGAGGAUGAUCCCUUAGCCUGGUGGAAGGUGCACAACAUUCACUUUCCACGACUGUGCAAGAUGGCCCGCAAAUAUCUAUGUGUGCCAGCCACAAGUGCCCCCUCAGAGCGUUUGUUCAGCACUGGAGGGAAUAUAGUGACUUGCACUCGCUCAUCCUUAAAGUCAGCAAAAGUUGAUAUGCUGGUCUUCCUAGCAAAAAACCUUGAGCUAUGAUGAUUAUGGCUGGCAGAGCCAUACUCAUUGUGCACUUUAGUUUGUGCUGUGUUACUGUUACUGCAGAUAAUCAAGAUGUUCAGCCAGUUUUAAUUUAAAGGUGUGUUUGUGUGUGUAUACAAUUGCUAUAUUAUGUUUGCACUUUAUGUGUAAUGUUACUGACUAGUUUUAUUUAUUUAAUAUUAUUUUUUAAUUUAAUGACUUUCUAGCAGUUCACAGAUGUCGAAAGUCGAGUGUGGUAAAGCCACAGAUUGUUUUUUUAUAUAUAUAUAUAUAUUUCUGCACAUUGUACUGACUUUCAUUUUAAUGUUUACACCAGGGUUCCUUGUCAGCACUUUAUGCUCAGAUGUUACUAUACUAUGCUCAGAGAUGUUACUACUCAAAAUAUACUAUUGUGUAUGUUCAAAUAUACUGUUUUGAUUGAA